CACGUAGGAGGCGAGCGUUGUCCGGAAUCAUUGGGCGUAAAGAGCGCGCAGGCGGCUUGACAAGUCGGGUGUGAAAUCCCGGGGCUCAACCCCGGGACUGCAUUCGAUACUGUCAGGCUAGAGGUAGGUAGGGGAGAUCGGAAUUCCUGGUGUAGCGGUGAAAUGCGCAGAUAUCAGGAGGAACACCGGUGGCGAAGGCGGAUCUCUGGUCCACAACUGACGCUGAGGUGCGAAAGCUAGGGGAGCAAACGGG
rnacentral:rRNA from 1 species